GACGGGGGGGGCAAGUGUUCUUCGGAAUGACUGGGCGUAAAGGGCACGUAGGCGGUGAAUCGGGUUGAAAGUGAAAGUCGCCAAAAAGUGGCGGAAUGCUCUCGAAACCAAUUCACUUGAGUGAGACAGAGGAGAGUGGAAUUUCGUGUGUAGGGGUGAAAUCCGUUGAUAUCAUGGGGAACACCGAAAGCGAAGGCAACUAACUGGCGCACUCCUGACAUUGAAACACGAAAGCGUGGGUAGCGAAUGGG
rnacentral:rRNA from 1 species